rnacentral:rRNA from 1 species
AGCAGCCGCGGUAAUUCCAGCUCCAAUAGCGUAUAUUAAAGUUGUUGCAGUUAAAAAGCUCGUAGUUGAAUUUCAGGCCUGGCUGGGCGGUCCGCCUUUUGGGUGAGUACUGCCUGUGGUCGGGUCCUACCUUCUGGCGAAGCGUCAUGGCCUUAACCGGCCGUGGCGGGGAACCAGGACUUUUACUGUGAAAAAAUUAGAGUGUUCAAAGCAGGCAUUCGCUUGAAUACAUUAGCAUGGAAUAAUGGAAUAGGACAGUGGUUCUAUUUGUUGGUUUCUAGGACCGUUGUAAUGAUUAAUAGGGAUAGUUGGGGGCAUUAGUAUUCAAUUGUCAGAGGUGAAAUUCUUGGAUUUAUUGAAGACUAACUACUGCGAAAGCAUUUGCCAAGGAUGUUUUCAUUAAUCAAGAACGAAGGUUAGGGGAUCGAAGACGAUCAGAUACCGUCGUAGUCUUAACCAUAAACUAUGCCGACUAGGAAUCGGGCGAUGUUGACAAAAUGACGCGCUCGGCA